rnacentral:rRNA from 1 species
UACGGAGGGUGCAAGCGUUAUCCGGAUUCACUGGGUUUAAAGGGUGCGUAGGCGGGUCUUUUAAGUCAGGGGUGAAAUCCUGGAGCUCAACUCCAGAACUGCCUUUGAUACUGAGGAGCUUGAGUCCGGUAGGGGAGUGUGGAAUUCCUGGUGUAGCGGUGAAAUGCGUAGAGAUCGGAAGGAACACCAGUGGCGAAGGCGGCUACCUGGACAGAUACUGACACUGAGGCGCGAAAGCGUGGGGAGCAAACAGG